UACGGGAGGCAGCAGUGGGGAAUAUUGCACAAUGGGCGCAAGCCUGAUGCAGCCAUGCCGCGUGUAUGAAGAAGGCCUUCGGGUUGUAAAGUACUUUCAGCGGGGAGGAAGGUGUUGAGGUUAAUAACCUCAGCAAUUGACGUUACCCGCAGAAGAAGCACCGGCUAACUCCGUGCCAGCAGCCGCGGUA
rnacentral:rRNA from 1 species